rnacentral:rRNA from 1 species
UGGGGGAUAUUGCACAAUGGGCGAAAGCCUGAUGCAGCGACGCCGCGUGGGGGAUGAAGGCCUUCGGGUUGUAAACUUCUUUUGCUCUGAACAAGGCAUGCCUUUGGGGUGUGUUGAGUGUAGGGGUUGAUUAGCGCCGGCUAACUACGUGCCAGCAGCCGCGGUAAUACGUAGGGCGCGAGCGUUGUCCGGAAUUAUUGGGCGUAAAGGGCUUGUAGGUGGCUGGUUGCGUCUGUCGUGAAAGCUCAUGGCUUAACUGUGGGUUUGCGGUGGGUACGGGCUGGCUUGAGAGCAGUAGGGGAGGCUGGAAUUCCUGGUGUAGCGGUGGAAUGCGCAGAUAUCAGGAGGAAUACCGGUGGCGAAGGCGGGUCUCUGGGCUGUUACUGACGCUGAGGAGCGAAAGCGUGGGGAGCGAACAGG